CUGUGAUUUAUAUCUUAUACACAUGCGUGAGCGCACCAAACACCUAAAAUUGUAAUAAUACCAGUCACUAAGUUUUAACAAAACAAAACUUUCAACAACGGAUCUCUUGGUUCUCGCAUCGAUGAAGAGCGCAGCGAAAUGCGAUACCUAGUGUGAAUUGCAGCCAUCGUGAAUCAUCGAGUUCUUGAACGCACAUUGCGCCCCAUGGUAUUCCAUGGGGCAUGCCUGUCUGAGCGUCGUUUCCUUCUUGCGCAAGCAGAGUUGAGAACAGGCUAUGCCUUUUUCGAAAUGGAACGUCGUGGACGAAGUGAACUAAACUUUUAGCACGCUUUGGCCGCCGAACUUUUAACUAAGCUCGACCUCAGAUCAGGUAGG
rnacentral:rRNA from 1 species